AGAAAAAGUAUGACCUGCAGCGGCAUGAAGAUGAGCUAAGAAAUGUGGGGCCAGUAGAUGCACAGGUACACCUUGAAGAGAUGUCCUGGAACAAAGAGAGAAAUGCACCAAAAAACUUCCGGUGGUGUUGUGGCGGCUUCUUGCACUUCCUCGGACUCAGGCCAGCUGGCAGAGCCUUGUGGGUGGACCUGUCAUUGCCAAUUUGUAAACGCUGUUUAUGAGGAGUCUUUCUCUCUGAGCUGUCGAUGUGGUGGGAAGUACACUGUCUACAAAGAUGAAGCACAAGAAGCAAACCUUAUUUCCUGUGAUACGUGCUCACUGAUUGUGGAACUCCUUCAUCAGAGCUGAGCUGAGUGUUCAUCCCUGGGGUGCUUUAACUACAAGGAGAAGGAUGCUUUUUGUUAUUAGCUGUAUAAUUUGUGAAGAUGAUGAAAUCUUCAAGCAAAGACCACCAGAUUAACAAAUAAAUUCAGUUGUUUAUAUAUCUAAAAUGUAAAUUAUAGGAUAUUACAAAAAAGGACUUGAGUAAUAUUUUUGCAUUCUUAGCUAACAACUUUUGUUUUCUCUUUGGUACAAACCGAUUAUUUGCCUUUUGAAAUAUAAGUAUCUUUUUC
rnacentral:lncRNA from 1 species